UUUAAAGUCUAAUCUGCCCUAUGAGGAAUUAAAUGGCCGCGGUAUUUUGACCGUGCAAAGGUAGCAUAAUAAUUAGUUUUUUAAUUGAAAGCUGGAAUGAAUGAUUGGACGAGAGAAUAGCUGUCUCAGUUUAAUUUUUUUAGAAUUUUAUUUUUAAGUAAAAAAGCUUAAAUUUUUUUAAAAGACGAGAAGACCCUAUAGAGUUUUAUAUAAAUUAAAGUAUAAAUUUUGUGGAUUUUUUAUGUUUAUAUUUUAAUUUAUAUUUUAUUGGGGUGAUAGGAAAAUUUAAUAAACUUUUUUUAAAAAAUUAAACAUUUAUUUAUGAUUAUUUGAUCCAAUUAUAUUGAUUAUAAGAUUAAAUUACCUUAGGGAUAACAGCGUAAUUUUUUUUUAGAGUUCUUAUCGAAAGAAAAGAUUGCGACCUCGAUGUUGGAUUAAAAUUAAUUUUUGGUGUAGAAGCUAGAAAAUUAGGUCUGUUCGACCUUUAAAAUUUUACA
rnacentral:rRNA from 1 species